AGACCAUGAUGUGGACAUUUCCUUAGCAAUUCCAUGUACCUCUUCCAAGCUUCAUAUAGUGAUUCAUUGUUGUCUUGCACGAAAGAGGUAAUGUCGUUUCUCAUUUU